UCUCUUUUCCUUUUUCCUUUCUUUCCUCUCUUCUCUCCCUCUCACGCACAACCUAGCCCCUUCCCCCUCUUCCUUCUUCCUCUCUUCAUCUCUCUCUCUCACACUCACGCACACACAUGGACCCGAGAGAGAGUGUUGAGCCGAAAAUGGAGGGUGAGCUCGUGAGAACCCGUGCUCCAAGGGUCCGAAAUGCAGGCAUCAUGGGAUAGUGUCUGGAUUGGAGACUUCAAUUGGUUCUCCAAUGUAGAGUUCGAGUCAAGAGUCCAAUGCAGCUAAGAUGUGGAUACCACCACAACCGUGUAGAUGAUGUUCCUUUAGCUGCAGGUACUUCGGUAUAGUUGAUAGUUUGGUAGCAGUCUACUUGGGAUAUUAUGACUGAAGCUCGCCACGACGGUUGUAAUUGUCGGACCAUGGGUUGUCCACUGUUUAUAGGUCUGGUAUAUGGCUUGUGACGUUUGUGUCACGUAUUCUAUGUAAAGCCAUUAUUGUUAUGUAAAUAUUGUGUUAAUAAGACUUAAACAAAUAGAUGUUAAA